AAUGAACGCUGGCGGCAUGCCUAACACAUGCAAGUCGAACGAGACCUUCGGGUCUAGUGGCGCACGGGUGCGUAACGCGUGGGAAUCUGCCCUUGGGUUCGGAACAACAGUUAGAAAUGACUGCUAAUACCGGAUGAUGUCGUAAUACCAAAGAUUUAUCGCCAAAGGAUGAGCCCGCGUAGGAUUAGCUAGUUGGUGAGGUAAAAGCUCACCAAGGCGACGAACCUUAGCUGGUAUGAGAGGAUGAUCAGCCACACUGGGACUGAGACACGGCCCAGACUCCUACGGGAGGCAGCAGUGGGGAAUAUUGGACAAUGGGCGAAAGCCUGAUCCAGCAAUGCCGCGUGAGUGAUGAAGGCCUUAGGGUUGUAAAGCUCUUUUACCCGGGAUGAUAAUGACAGUACCGGGAGAAUAAGCUCCGGCUAACUUCGUGCCAGCCGCCGCCGUAACAC
rnacentral:rRNA from 1 species